rnacentral:rRNA from 1 species
UACGGAGGGGGCUAGCGUUGUUCGGAAUUACUGGGCGUAAAGCGCACGUAGGCGGCGAUUCAAGUCAGAGGUGAAAGCCCGGGGCUCAACUCCGGAACUGCCUUUGAAACUAGAUUGCUAGAAUCUUGGAGAGGCGAGUGGAAUUCCGAGUGUAGAGGUGAAAUUCGUAGAUAUUCGGAAGAACACCAGUGGCGAAGGCGACUCGCUGGACAAGUAUUGACGCUGAGGCGCGAAAGCGUGGGGAGCAAACAGG